rnacentral:tRNA from 1 species
UAAAGCCUGCAAGACUUCACUCACAUCACCCGAAUGCAACUCA